AAAACGGCCCUUUUCAGGGCCACCAUUUGUUGUGAGAUCAGACACC
rfam:Tropilaelaps mercedesae isolate Wuxi-XJTLT scaffold0000025873, whole genome shotgun sequence.